rnacentral:lncRNA from 1 species
GCCCAUAAACACCUCUACAUAUAUAACAAUAAAAAAUUAAACUAGUUAAAAAGAACAAGACCCAAGCAGAGAUGCUAACGCAGAGGUGAAAGUUUAGUUAUCAUAAAAGUCCGAAAACGUAUCACCUCCUCCCCCUUGUCCCCAAAGGAUAUGUGCUUUAGCACAUGUGUUUUAGGUGAAAGGUUCGAGGGUUGGUAUUCCAAAGAAAAUAAGAAAAAAAAGGUGAAAGGUUCGAGGGUUGGUAUUCCAAAGAAAAUAAGAAAAGAAAAAAGGAUAGAAUCCUAAUGAAGGUAUUCUCAAAUACCUUUUAAUAAGAUUUUUUAUUAUGGUUUAUGGUUUUUGUAAAUUUUAAUUUAAUUAUAUAUUUUAAAAGAAAUAAAUACAUAUAUUUAUUUUUAUAUUAAAUUAAUAUAUUUAUAUAUAUAGGGAAUAAAUAAAUGUAAAAUAGUGUUUU